rnacentral:rRNA from 1 species
GUGCCAGCAGCCGCGGUAAUACGUAGGGUGCGAGCGUUGUCCGGAAUUACUGGGCGUAAAGAGCUCGUAGGUGGUUUGUCGCGUCGUCUGUGAAAUUCCGGGGCUUAACUCCGGGCGUGCAGGCGAUACGGGCAUAACUUGAGUACUGUAGGGGAGACUGGAAUUCCUGGUGUAGCGGUGAAAUGCGCAGAUAUCAGGAGGAACACCGGUGGCGAAGGCGGGUCUCUGGGCAGUAACUGACGCUGAGGAGCGAAAGCAUGGGUAGCGAACAGGAUUAGAUACCCUGGUAGUCCAUGCCGUAAACGGUGGGCGCUAGGUGUAGGGGUCUUCCACGACUUCUGUGCCGUAGCUAACGCAUUAAGCGCCCCGCCUGGGGAGUACGGCCGCAAGGCUAAAACUCAAAGGAAUUGACGGGGGCCCGCACAAGCGGCGGAGCAUGUGGAUUAAUUCGAUGCAACGCGAAGAACCUUACCUGGGCUUGACAUAUACGGGACCGGGCCAGAGAUGGUCCUUCCCUUGUGGCUCGUAUACAGGUGGUGCAUGGUUGUCGUCAGCUCGUGUCGUGAGAUGUUGGGUUAAGUCCCGCAACGAGCGCAACCCUUGUCUUAUGUUGCCAGCACGUAAUGGUGGGGACUCGUGAGAAACUGCCGGGGUCAACUCGGAGGAAGGUGGGGAUGACGUCAAAUCAUCAUGCCCCUUAUGUCCAGGGCUUCACACAUGCUACAAUGGUCGGUACAGUGGGUUGCGAUGCCGUGAGGUGGAGCUAAUCCCUGAAAGCCGGUCUCAGUUCGGAUCGGGGUCUGCAACUCGACCCCGUGAAGUCGGAGUCGCUAGUAAUCGCAGAUCAGCAACGCUGCGGUGAAUACGUUCCCGGGCCUUGUACACACCGCCCGU